AGUGAACGCUGGCGGUAGGCCUAACACAUGCAAGUCGAACGGCAGCACAGUAAGAGCUUGCUCUUACGGGUGGCGAGUGGCGGACGGGUGAGGAAUACAUCGGAAUCUACUUUUUCGUGGGGGAUAACGUAGGGAAACUUACGCUAAUACCGCAUACGACCUACGGGUGAAAGCAGUGGAUCUUCGGACCUUGCGCGAUUGAAUGAGCCGAUGUCGGAUUAGCUAGUUGGCGGGGUAAAGGCCCACCAAGGCGACGAUCCGUAGCUGGUCUGAGAGGAUGAUCAGCCACACUGGAACUGAGACACGGUCCAGACUCCUACGAGAGGCAGCAGUGGGGAAUAUUGGACAAUGGGCGCAAGCCUGAUCCAGCCAUACCGCGUGGGUGAAGAAGGCCUUCGGGUUGUAAAGCCCUUUUGUUGGGAAGGAAAAGCAGCAGGUUAAUACCCCGCUGUUCUGACGGUACCCAAAGAAUAAGCACCGGCUAACUUCGUG
rnacentral:rRNA from 1 species